rnacentral:rRNA from 1 species
AUUGAACGCUGGCGGCAGGCCUAACACAUGCAAGUCGAGCGAGCGGCGGACGGGUGAGUAAUGUCUGGGAAACUGCCUGAUGGAGGGGGAUAACUACUGGAAACGGUAGCUAAUACCGUAUACCAUCAGAUGAGCCCAGAUGGGAUUAGCUAGUGGGUGGGGUAACGGCUCACCUAGGCGACGAUCCCUAGCUGGUCUGAGAGGAUGACCAGCCACACUGGAACUGAGACACGGUCCAGACUCCUACGGGAGGGAGCAGAGGGGAAUAUUGCACAAUGGGCGCGAGCCUGAUGCAGCCAUGCCGCGUAUGUGAAGAAGGCCUUCGGGUUGUAAAGUACUUUCAGCGGGGAGGCGUUACCCGCAGAAGAAGCACCGGCUAACUCCGUGCCAGCAGCCGCGGUAAUUC